CUCUGUGAUGACUUAAAUAGAAUCUCGUUCGGCUGAUAACUUGCUGUUGAGACUCUAAAAUCUGAUGUUC
ensembl:snoRNA SNORD30 Small nucleolar RNA SNORD30